UUGACGCCGACAAAUCCAGCGGCUUCCAUCCAUCGUUCAUAAUUAAUCAGGCCGCGUUCCUGAUCGAUGAGAAUUGUGACACGUGUUGAUGCGACGACCCCGAUUUUUUCAAGUCUCGUAGUUUAAUUCCGUCCGGCGAGGCUGCUGCCGCGAGCGUUUUUUACCACGAGCUGCGAAUCGAGGCCGGCGAUUCGGGGCCAAUUCGGCCUAAAUUUAGCCCAGCCUGUGGCGGCCGUUGGUUUUUUCUUUCUCUCCGCGGCUCGCACGUGGUAGAUUGAAUCGGGCCAGCGCCGCCAUUUUUCUCCAGACGAUGAACACUUUUAUUACUUCUCUGCUCUGUGCGGCUGGCGGGCAUGCGAGUAACUCGCUAUCGCAUAUUUGCACGCCCCUGCCAUGCCAGCCUGGCGGGUUUGCACAUGGAGUGCUGAGUGAAUGUACCCCAUUUUUUAUCCUUACGUUGGGUUGGCUCAGACUGCGAAAUGAGCCGUCUCGCUAGUCUGCGGUCGAUACAAAAUCGCUCGAAUUAUGCAGCAACCUGCUCGGAACGCGUCCAAACCACAAGUUUUUAUUUAUAGACGGAAGACGGAUACAUUCUUCCUGUUUGGAAUUCAAUUCAAACACGGCUUCUUGUAUUUCGUCUUGAUGUCCGAGGGAUGGAUAAAAUUAAAAUAUUCCUUUAUGGUCCUUAUGGAUAUAGAAUUAAAAUUUCUCAAAACCUUCGCGCACAUCGGUUUUUUCUGAAUUAAUUUUAAAAGAUUGUUGGUAACUUUUUGUAAAAUGGCGUCUUCUGAGCUACUUGUAAAUUUGUCAGUUAAGAUGAUGUCCGAGAUUGGCCAACUUGUUUUAAACGUCUUUUGAAGCCGCUAUAGACAUUGUGAAAAUUACCUUUGAAUUGAUUGCGGAACCAGAAAAUUGAGAAGUUUCUCAAAAAGGAAACAAAAUUUAUUUUGCCAGGAGCCAAAAUAAAUUGUUAUUUCCUCCCUGAUGAAAACCGUCAAGUCUUUUCAUUUGUGCCCUCAUUGUUUUAAAGGAUAUCCUAACGGACAAUACGUUAUUUAUAUUUUAAUAUAUAGGAACCUGCGCUUGUGAAAUUAGUUGGCACCGACCGAAAAACGGUUCACCAGCAUCACUACCUGAAGAUUCGUUUGAAAAGUACCGUCCACCAUUAAAUGCGAACAAAGAAGCCAGUUCUAAAAUGGCGACACCAGGAUACCUUCAACGGUUUUCUGAAGGUAGCCCGCAGUGCCUAUUGACGUCCAUAAAUGCCAAGAUGGCCGCUCUAGUGUGCCCUAAAAAGUGACCCCGGAAAUUAAUUUUUAAAAAUU